rnacentral:misc_RNA from 1 species
CGCACAUUGCGCCCUUUGGUAUUCCGAAGGGCAUGCCCGUUCGAGCGUUAUUAAAUCCAAUCAAGCCUGGCUUGGUGUUGGGUCCCGGGGGUCACCCGGACCUCAAUGUCCCGCCGGCCGAUCGGCCCGUACUCCAGCGUUGUGGCACACCGUGGUCCGCUGAGGGGAGGGGGCGAGCGCGCCGUCAAUUUGUACAUUCGUAAGGUUAACCUCGGAUCGGGUAGGGAUACCCGCUGAACUUAA